AGGACGAACGCUGGCGGCGUGCUUAACACAUGCAAGUCGAGCGGAAAGGCCCUUCGGGGUACUCGAGCGGCGAACGGGUGAGUAACACGUGAGUAAUCUGCCCUUAGCUCUGGGAUAGCUCCGGGAAACCGGGAUUAAUACCAGAUACGACCACUUUAGACAUCUGCCGUGGUGGAAAGAAUUUCGGCUAAGGAUGAGCUCGCGGCCUAUCAGCUUGUUGGUUGGGUAACGGCCUACCAAGGCGACGACGGGUA
rnacentral:rRNA from 1 species